rnacentral:rRNA from 1 species
GACGAACGCUGGCGGCGUGCUUAACACAUGCAAGUCGAACGGAGAGGCGCUGCUAUUGCGGGCUGCUCGAGUGGCGAACGGGUGAGUAACACGUGAGUAAGCUGCACUUGACUUUGGGAUCACUUCAGGGGAGUGGAGAUAAUAACGUAUCUGCGCACCCGCUGCAUGGUCAGGCUUGGAAAGGUACGGCGGUUGGGGAUGGACUCGCGGCAUAUCGGCUCGUUGGUGGGGUAGCGGCUUACCAGGGCAGUGACGGGUAGCCGGGCUGAGAGGAUGGCCGGCCACGCUACGAUUGAGAUGCGACCCAGACUACUACGGUACGCAAGGGAGGGGAGUAGGACACUGCAGGCGGAAGCGUGAUGCGGCGACGCCGCGUGCGGGAUGUCGAGCAGUGUGUUGGUAUCCACUGUCGCAUGAGAAGAGACGUUAGUGACGGUAACUGAUAAAGAAGCACCGGCUAACUACGUG